rnacentral:rRNA from 1 species
AGCGAACGCUGGCGGCAGGCCUAGCACAUGCAAGUCGAACGAAUCCUUCGGGGUUAGUGGCGGACGGGUGAGUAACACGUGGGAACGUGCCUUUAGGUUCGGAAUAACUCAGGGAAACUUGUGCUAAUACCGAACGUGCCCUUCGGGGGAAAGAUUUAUCGCCUUUAGAGCGGCCCGCGUCUGAUUAGCUAGUUGGUGAGGUAAUGGCUCACCAAGGCUACGAUCAGUAGCUGGUCUGAGAGGAUGACCAGCCACAUUGGGACUGAGACACGGCCCAAACUCCUACGGGAGGCAGCAGUGGGGAAUCUUGCGCAAUGGGCGAAAGCCUGACGCAGCCAUGCCGCGUGGAUGAUGAAGGUCUUAGGAUUGUAAAAUCCUUUCACCGGUGAAGAUAAUGACUGUAGCCGGAGAAGAAGCCCCGGCUAACUUCGUGCCAGCAGCCGCUGUAACAC